GGUGAGGUGUCCGAGUGGCCGAAGGAGCACGCCUGGAAAGUGUGUAAGGCGCAAGUCUUCGAGGGUUCAAAUCCCUCCCUCACCG
rnacentral:tRNA from 1 species